GGGCGCGUAGCUCAGUGGUAGAGCACUACGUUGACAUCGUAGGGGUCACUGGUUCGAACCCAGUCGCGCCCACCA
rnacentral:tRNA from 2 species